rnacentral:rRNA from 1 species
UACGGAAGGCAGCAGUGGGGAAUAUUGCACAAUGGGCGCAAGCCUGAUGCAGCCAUGCCGCGUGUAUGAAGAAGGCCUUCGGGUUGUAAAGUACUUUCAGCGGGGAGGAAGGCGAUGUGGUUAAUAACCGCGUCGAUUGACGUUACCCGCAGAAGAAGCACCGGCUAACUCCGUGCCAGCAGCCGCGGUAAUACGGAGGGUGCAAGCGUUAAUCGGAAUUACUGGGCGUAAAGCGCACGCAGGCGGUCUGUUAAGUCAGAUGUGAAAUCCCCGGGCUUAACCUGGGAACUGCAUUUUGAAACUGGCAGGCUUGAGUCUCGUAGAGGGGGUAGAAUUCCAGGUGUAGCGGUGAAAUGCGUAGAGAUCUGGAGGAAUACCGGUGGCGAAGGCGGCCCCUGGGACGAAGACUGACGCUCAGGGUGCGAAAGCGUGGGGAGCGAAACAGGGAUUAGGAUACC